rnacentral:rRNA from 1 species
CAGCAGCCGCGGUAACACGUAGGGUGCAAGCGUUAAUCGGAAUUACUGGGCGUAAAGCGUGCGCAGGCGGUUAUAUAAGACAGAUGUGAAAUCCCCGGGCUCAACCUGGGAACUGCAUUUGUGACUGCAAGGCUAGAGUACGGCAGAGGGGGAUGGAAUUCCGCGUGUAGCAGUGAAAUGCGUAGAUAUGCGGAGGAACACCGAUGGCGAAGGCAAUCCCCUGGGCCUGUACUGACGCUCAUGCACGAAAGCGUGGGGAGCAAACAGGAUUAGAUACCCCAGUAGUCCCUGUCUCUUAUAC